rnacentral:rRNA from 1 species
GACAGAGGUUGCAAGCGUUGCUCGGAAUCACUGGGCGUAAAGGGUGCGUAGGCGGGUCUUUUAAGUCAGAGGUGAAAUCCUGGAGCUCAACUCCAGAACUGCCUUUGAUACUGAGGAUCUUGAGUUCGGGAGAGGUGAGUGGAACUGCGAGUGUAGAGGUGAAAUUCGUAGAUAUUCGCAAGAACACCAGUGGCGAAGGCGGCUCACUGGCCCGAUACUGACGCUGAGGUGCGAAAGCGUGGGGAGCAAACGGG